UAAGUAGAAUUCUUUGUGGGGUGAUGCAGUGGAUAUGGUGUACUUGGACUUUGUGAAAGCCUUAGACAAGAUCCCUCACCUAAGGCUCUUAAGUGAAGGAAACAGUCAUGGAAUAAGAGGGAAGUUUCUCUCGUGGAUCAGUAACUGGAUAAA